rnacentral:rRNA from 1 species
CACGUAGGGCGCGAGCGUUGUCCGGAAUUAUUGGGCGUAAAGAGCUCGUAGGCGGCCUGUUGCGUCCGCUGUGAAAGCCCGGGGCUUAACCCCGGGUCUGCAGUGGAUACGGGCAGGCUAGAGGUAGGUAGGGGAGAAUGGAAUUCCUGGUGUAGCGGUGAAAUGCGCAGAUAUCAGGAGGAACACCGGUGGCGAAGGCGGGUCUCUGGGCCGAUACUGACGCUGAGGAGCGAAAGCGUGGGGAGCAAACAGG